rnacentral:rRNA from 1 species
GUAGGGGGCAAGCGUUGUCCGGAUUCACUGGGCGUAAAGCGCGCGCAGGCGGUGAUGUAAGUCUGAGGUGAAAACCCGAAGCUCAACUUCGGGACUGCCUUGGAUACUGCGUCACUUGAGGAUAGGAGAGGCAAGGGGAAUUCCACGUGUAGCGGUGAAAUGCGUAGAGAUGUGGAGGAACACCUGUGGCGAAGGCGCCUUGCUGGCCUAUUUCUGACGCUGAGGCGCGAAAGCGUGGGGAGCAAACAGGAUUAGAUACCCUGGUAGUCCACGCUGUAAACGAUGAGUGCUAGGUGUAGGUGGGCUCAUACCCAUCUGUGCCGAAGCUAACGCAUUAAGCACUCCGCCUGGGGAGUACGGUCGCAAGACUGAAACUCAAAGGAAUUGACGGGGGCCCGCACAAGCAGUGGAGCAUGUGGUUUAAUUCGAAGCAACGCGAAGAACCUUACCAGGACUUGACAUCCCAUAGACCAGUCUAGAGAUAGACUUUCCCUUCGGGGCUGUGGUGACAGGUGGUGCAUGGUUGUCGUCAGCUCGUGUCGUGAGAUGUUGGGUUAAGUCCCGCAACGAGCGCAACCCUUACUUUGUGUUGCCAGCAUUCAGUUGGGCACUCACAAGGGACUGCCGCCGAUAAGGCGGAGGAAGGUGGGGAUGACGUCAAAUCAUCAUGCCCCUUAUGUCCUGGGCUACACACGUGCUACAAUGGGCGGUACAACGGGAUGCGAAGCCGCGAGGUGGAGCCAAACCCUGAAAACCGUUCGUAGUUCGGAUUGUAGGCAGCAACUCGCCUACAUGAAGCCGGAAUUGCUAGUAAUCGCGGAUCAGCAUGCCGCGGUGAAUCCGUUCCCGGGCCUU